CAGUAAUUUUCUCGGUGGAUUUUUAGUGAAUUUGAUUUAUGUCUUUUUAAUUUAUUAUGGAUUCGUUUGCGCAUUGUUUUAAAACCGUUUAUAAUUUAUACCCUUACUUCUUAUACCUUAAAUGAGUACCUAUAUACUUUUUAUUCACAAACAGAAACUUUGCCCCAUUUCGAAGACAGAUUUGAACAGAAAUAUUUUUUUAAAAACCGUGAUAUCAUAAUAUGUACAACAUUAAUAUUUGGUUAUGGACCGUUUAUGAGUUAUAAAAGUUUAAAAUUUAGAUAGGAAGAGAAAUGAAAGGUAAUGAAUAAUGCAGAAUAAUGAGUAAUGCAUAUCCAUUUUAUAACCUCUUCCUACUCCUUCUGUCUAGACGUUAAAUGUUUAUAACUUAUUAAUGAUAAAUCCGAUAUUGGUAUUAUGCCUAUCAACAUGUUUAGAAAAAUAAACAGUAUUUGAGUACGUGUUUGAAAAUUGCGUUAAAUAAAGUUUUAACGAUUUGACUGUAGUUGUGGAAAAAAAAACAGAAAACAAAUUUACUUAAAAUCUUCCGAGGAAAUUUUUGGAUUAUCAUAACUCAUAAGAGGAUCACUUUGUAUAGUAAAAUAUAUUUGUAAUUGAAAAUAUAAUAAUAAUCGUCAUAUUGAGUCAAUUUCGAUUAGUUAAUAUAUACCUUUUUAAGUUCACCCUAUAAAACUGUUCUGUGUGAGGUAUUUAGCCUCGUGUUUUGAAAAAAUUCAAAAAACUCGAGUAACAAAAAUGUUCAGCGCAAGACAUUUCGGAAACACCGGACAUGAAAUUAAUAAAGGUAUCUACGACUAUGUGUAUAGGUACAUAAUAAACAAGGUCGGGAAACACGUCCUAUUAUUAAUGUCGACAUGUGUGUUUUGAAAUGUAUGUUUUUAAUAAUGACUCGGAUUAAUCGUUCGGAAUUCAGCCAGAAGAGCUAAAAACGAUUAUUUAUGAAUUUAUAAGGGGUACGGUUUAUACAAUACUGUAGUGGUCAAAAAUAUAUGUAGGUCUACAUUGUGUUUAAAAAGUCGAUUAUAUUUAACGUGUGAGCUAGCGGCGUAUUGAGGAUUUUGUCCAUAUUUAUUAUCUCCCAUAUUGGAUUUGGAAAUUGUACAGUGUAAUGUGAUACUAGAUUUAAAAAAAUAAAAAUUAUAAGAAUAAUUUCUAAUUACAUCUGCCAUAAAAUUAUCAUUGGAAUUAAAUAACUAUAGAUACUAAUAAUUAUUAUUUCUAUAAUCUAAUCUCCUUCAUAUUAUGAUAAUAUAAUAAUGGUUUGAUGUACCAAUUUGGUGUAAAACUACUUAUUAAAAAUGUCUAAGUAGGUUCAGGUUUUUUGAUAUAUUAACUAUAUGUAGGAUAAUUUCCAGUACAAACUAAUAAAACUGAUAGAGAUUGGCAUAGAAACAUUAUGCUCAUAAAGGAAUCACAAGCUGCGUUGAGAUUAAAUUAAAUUUAAAAGUAAUAUGCCAAGAAUUCAAUCGGGAAAUAAAUGUCUCUACGGGCUUGUAAAACUGUUUGGACCGCGAUCAUUGUCAAAGGAUUUAAAAAUACAGUUAUGUAUGACGCAAUAACAUAUGAAGCUGAAACAUGGCCAGCAAGGAAAAUUGAUGAAAGAGAAAGCUCAUAGUUCUAGGAAGGAAAAUAUUACGAAUGAUUUUUGGGCCUUUGAAAGACACGUUACGUAAUGAGUGGAAGUUAAGAAAAAUUGUUGUGUAGGAGUCACUUUUACGCAAACCGUACAUAUUGAAAAUUUUAGGAACCAAAGAUUACGGUGGGCUGAGUAUGCGUGCAAAGUUUAAAUUCACUCUUGCGUACAAUACUUGAAGAAAAUCGUACUGGAAAGCAGCCGCUGAGAAGACCAGGCUUGGGAUUACUUAGUCAGGAGGGACGUGGAAGCGUUAGGAGUAGGUAUGGACUGGAAGAUUCAGCCAUCGAAUAUAGAGAAAACUAGAGGCAAGGUUGUUUGACGGAAUGGUCCUAGCGAUCGAAUUACCUAAGAUAUAAGAAGAACUAAAAGUAGGUACGCAAUAAUAUUUUGAUUUUAUUGAUUAAAAAGUGAAUAAUUCGAAUUUAAAAUAUAGGGAAGUUUAUA